rnacentral:rRNA from 1 species
UACGUAGGGGGCAAGCGUUGUCCGGAAUCAUUGGGCGUAAAGAGCGCGUAGGCGGCCCAGUAAGUCCGCUCUGAAAGUCAGGGGCUCAACCCCUGGAUGCGGGUGGAUACUGCUGGGCUAGAGUCCGGAAGAGGCGAGUGGAAUUCCUGGUGUAGCGGUGAAAUGCGCAGAUAUCAGGAGGAACACCGGUGGCGAAGGCGGGUCUCUGGGCCGAUACUGACGCUGAGGAGCGAAAGCGUGGGGAGCGAACAGG